UGAUAUUAGAGAGAAAGGAAGAGGAGAGUCGGCUGAACAGUACAGCCGUGAGCUUCCCAAGGCUGAUCAGAGUUCUUCUUGGCUCUGGUUCGAUGUUUCAGUGGUUGUUCUUGAUGGCCUUGAAGAGAUCCUUUCAUUUUGUGACGAUUUCGUUCGAGACCGGUGACCUAGAUCAGAGUAUACGGGUAGAAAGGAACUCAAUCUCGGUUGAGACGCGCUCGUGUGGACGAGCUAGGGACCGAACCCUUAGACGGUUAAUUUAAUCUACUCGAAUCGACAAGCGCUAGGUUCCCCCUUCAAAAGCUCCAACAGCUUCCAUCACCAUGGCCUCGACAAGCAACCACAUGGCUUUCAACUACUCUCAGCAAGGUAUCCUAAUCUUCGUUGGAGAGAAGUACGCGAUAUGGAGCAUCCUCAUGAAGACAUUAUUCAGCUCCCAAGACCUUUUAGAUUAUUGUGGAGAAUUCCUAUGAAACUGUGAGUGCAUUUGGAGGAAAUAGCAGCUCUGUCUACAUAGCAACAAAAGCAAACACACAGAAAAUCGAAUGAAAGAUGCAAAAGCAUUGUCUUUCAUCCACCAGGGGGUAAGCAAAUCUAUUCUUCCUAAACUCAUGGGUGUAACUACAUCAACAACAGCAUGGGAAAUUAUGAAAAAACAAUUUGGAGGCUAUGAUGUGGUGUUCUCCAUCAAACUGUAGAAUUUAUGGGGAGAGUUAGAUAACUUAGCCAUGAAGCAAAGUGAAGAUGUGCAGGAAUUCUCUUCGAGAGUUUUUGUUAUCGUCAUUCAAAUUAGACGCUAAGGAGAUACCAUUGAGGAUAAGAAAAUAGUACAAAAAGUUUGAAGGAGCUUGCUAGCUAGAUUCAAGCACAUAGUUGCUGCAAUCGAAGUAUCAAAGGAUUUGUCAACAUUCUCCAUGGAUGAGUUGAUGAGUUCUCUUGAAGCAGACGAGGAGAAUUAGCGAAUUCUCAACGCAAAACUUGGAGCAAGCCUUCCAAUCAAAGAUAAAUAUUAGCAAACAAAAAUCUCUAGAUGAUGAUGCAAAUAAAGCAAGCAAACUUUUCCCAGAAAUACUCAUCACGUGGCCGAGGACAUGGUAGAAGUCAAUAUAGAGGACGAGGAAGAAAGGACAAUUUCCUCGAAAGAAACUCCGACAACUAUAAUAAUCCAACAUGCAGAAUAUGCAGAAAAGCAGGACAUGAAGCCAAAGAUUGUCGCUUCAAGAGUAAAAGAUGUAGAAAUCUAACCCACUCAGAAAGAAAACAUGUUUACAACUGCAUGAAUACUCAACAAGAUCCAUAAAAUAUUUGAUACAUCGAUAGUGGUCGCAACAAUCACAUGACUAGAACCGAAAGCAUGCUCACAAAGCUAAAUGAAAAUCUCAACUCCAAAGUCAAGCUUGGAGAUGAAAAUGACAUGGAAGGAAACCAAAGCUAGAUUUUCUCAAAGUCUUUGGGUGUAUUACAUAUUCAUUUAUCCCAUCACAACAAAGGGAGAAGUCUGAUGAGAAAGGCGAAAAAUAUGUCUUUCUCAAUUAUCGUGACAAAUCAAAAGGAUAUCGUCUCUUCAACCCAAUGACGAAAAAGCUUAUAUUAGCUUGUGUUCUUAAUCUUCGAUGAAGAAGUUUCAUGGGAUUUCACGAAAAGUUGUUGAAAAAGGAAAAGCCAUAUGUUCUCCAAGGCACGAAAUGAAUGAAAAAAGAGAUGAUUUCUAACCAAGCACGACCAUGAGCACAAGCACAAGCAAAAGAAGUUUGAUCUCAAGUUCGUCAUCGUCGAGUUCAAACUUGCAAUCAACAAACUCUGAAUCUCCUACAAGAAAAUUUCGCCAAGUAAGUGAACUAUAUGGAACAUGCGAUUUAACAUUUUAUGCUUGUGAGGCCCAAAGUUUCAAGGGCGCAGUCAAAGAAGAAGUUUGGACAAAAGAUAUGGAUGAAGUAAUUGUAAUUAUAGAGAAGAAUCACACAUGGGAGCCGUGGAUCUUCUCGAUUAAAAUGAUGUUAUUGGUCUAAAAUGAGUUUAUAAGACCGAAUACAAGGAAGAUGGCUCAAUUCAGAGGCAAAAGGCCCAAUUAGUAGCCAAAGGGUAUUCUCAACAACGAGGAUUGACUUCAAUGAAACUUUUGCGCCAGUUGCUCUCAUGGAGACAAUCAGACUUGUCCUUCCCCUAUCUGCUCAACUAUAAUUGCAGAUUUAUCAACUUGAUGUCAAAUUAGCAUUCCUUAAUGGUGAACUCGAAGAUGAAGUCUAUGUGGAACAACUUGAAGGAUAUGUUAUCAAGGACAAAGAAGAUAAAGUUUACAGCCUUCGGAAAGCUUUCUAUGGGCUAAAAGCAAGCACCGCAAGCAUGGAAUAGCAAAACCGAUGCAUAUUUUCAGAAGAAUGGUUUUACUCGAAGUCAAAGUGAACCAUCACUUUACAUAGAGAAAGUAGCUAACAAAAAUUUUCUUAUUGUUUGUCUUUACGUUGAUGAUCUGAUAUACACAGGAACCAAUCCUGUGAUGGUGCAAUAAUUCAAGAAAGCAAUGAUGAACGAGUACGAGAUGACAGAUUUAGGCCUCAUGAAGUCUUUUCUUGGAAUUCAAGUUCAACAAUCCAAAAGUGAGAUACUUAUCUCCCAAGAGAAAUAAGUAGAAGAUUUGUUGAAAAGAUUUCAGAUGAACAACUGCAAACCAAUUGCAACUCCACUUGCAGCGAAUGACAAAUUGUAUCUGAAUGAUGGCACUCCAAAAUCUGAUGCCUCAAAUUAUCGAAAUUUAUUGGGUUCAUUGCUUUAUCUAACAAAUACAAGGCCAGAUAUUACGUAUCCUAUCAGCCUGAUUUCAAGAUUUAUGCAAGAACAAAGCAAGGUAACACUAUUCAGUAGCAAAGUGGAUUCUCUGCCACUUACAAGGAACGAAGAGAUUUGGUAUUCACUAUAUGAAGGAAAAGAAGAACAAGCUCGUAAGCUAUACAGACAGUGAUUGGGCACGUUCAAUUGAUGAUCGGAAAAAAAAAAUCAGGAUAUAUUCUCUGCAUUGGAUCAAAAGUAAUUUCAUGGUCUUCGAAAAAGAAAAAGACCGUGUCACUUACUUCUGCAGAGGCAGAGUGUAUCACAACAACAUAUGAAACAUGUGAAGCAAUUUGGUUACGAAAAGUUCUAUGAGAUUUACUGCAGAUGCAAGAAAAUCCAACAAUUGUCUAUUGUGAUAACAUGUCCAUAGUAGCUAUGACCAAAAAUCCAAUAUUUCAUGGUAGGACCAAGCAUAUCGCGUUGCGACAUUACUUUAUAAGAAAUCAAGUACAACAAGGCAAAAUCCAACUCGAGUUUAUUAGCACCAAAGACCAACUUGCAGAUAUAUUCACAAAGGAAGUCAUAGCGGAAAAGCUUGAGCAAUUUCGAAAGAUUGCAGGUUUUGCAAAUUAAAAGGGGGUGUUAAAAAGGAAUUUGCAAUUAGGAUAUAAUUACUUCAUGGUUAAGACAACUUAAAAUAGACGCCUUGCACCUCCAUUAAGAAGAGAAGAUCAAUUUGAACUCUAAAGUGCAAGUUGUUAUCCAAGUGGACCAAGUUGGCAUCCUAAUGGAGAAGAUGACAAAUCCAAUUUGAAUACUCAAGAUUGUUAGUUGUCAUCUUAGAUGAAUGAAGACAAACCCAAAUUAUUGGUUAUGCUAGUUGUCAACAUGCAUGAGACAACUAAUACCUUAUCAUUUCACCUCCAUAGAAAGUCUAUAUAUAGUGUGUGUUAUUUUCUUGUUAAGAGAUCUAGAGGAUGAUAUAGAUGCUAGAUAAUCCUAGAGAUUACUAGUGUGUGCGUGCUGCAAAAACGAACAAAAGUUUCAGUACCACUGUGGAUAUUUACUGCUUGCACAUCUCUACUUCGUGGCCAUAUCCAAGCACCUUCUUUCAACGCAUAACUCAGUAUUUGGUUUGCAGUGAUAGUUGGGAAGAAUGAAGCCCAUUUGUGCGCAGUUCAAUCAAAGGUCCCCCCUGCACACCAUCUGUCAUACCAAAAGGAAAUGCCACUUCCAUCUUCUACUUUGUAACUCUCCUUUGGUUGAGCAAUGACUCUCAGUUUUUAGUAGUUUGCGCCAGCACCAUGAGCUAUUGCUUUGA